GUCUCUGUGGCUCAGUCGGUAGAGCGUUGGUCUCAUAUUACCCUUAAUAUGACUCAGGCAACAAGCCAGGGACAUCCAAAGGUCGCAAGUUCGAGCCUUGCCAGGGACA
rfam:Colletotrichum sublineola strain TX430BB Scaffolds0992.1, whole genome shotgun sequence.